UUACUCCUACGGGAGGCAGCAGUGCGGAAUUUUAGAUAAUGGAGGCAACUCUGAUCUAGCGACGCCGCGUGCAGGAAGAAGGUCUUCGGAUUGUAAACUGCUGUGGUAAGGGAAAAAUGUCAUGUAGAGUGGAAAGCUACAUGGAGGGAUGGUACCUUACUAGAAAGCCCCGGCUAACUACGUGCCAGCAGCCGCGGUAAUAA
rnacentral:rRNA from 1 species